UACAGGGGGCGCGAGCGUUGCUCGGAAUCACUGGGCGUAAAGCGUACGCAGGCGGUUCGGAAAGUCGGAUGUGAAAAUCCGGGGCUCAACCCCGGACGUGCAUCCGAUACUCCCGGACUGGAGGCAGGUAGGGGAGAGCGGAAUUCCCGGUGUAGCGGUGAAAUGCGCAGAUAUCGGAAGGAACACCAGUGGCGAAAGCGACUUCCUGGUCGAAUACUGACGUUCAUGUGCGAAAGCGUGGGGAGCAAACAGG
rnacentral:rRNA from 1 species